UACAGAGGUGGCAAGCGUUGUUCGGAAUUACUGGGCGUAAAGGGCGCGUAGGCGGCCUUCUAAGUCGGACGUGAAAUCCCCAGGCUUAACUUGGGAACUGCGUCUGAUACUGGGAGGCUUGAGUGCGGGAGAGGGAUGUGGAAUUCCAGGUGUAGCGGUGAAAUGCGUAGAUAUCUGGAGGAACACCGGUGGCGAAGGCGGCAUCCUGGACCGACACUGACGCUGAGGCGCGAAAGCGUGGGGAGCAAACAGG
rnacentral:rRNA from 1 species